AGCUACGCCAUCAACCACUCAGCCUCCUUCUACAUUCCUGUGGCAGACUCAACUCCCACCAGGGCAACUACAGCUGUGUCUAUGAGUAUUAUUUGUUUGUUUGUUGUUUGCUAUUGUAACUUACUGUUCCUUUCCAGCAUCCCCGGCGCCUAUCAUUGCAUCUGGAGUGAUUUCAGGUUUGUUCCUGCUUUUGCUGAUCCCUGUGAUCUUCUACCUGGUGAAGAAAAAGUGUUCUUCACACAUCUUUGUCUGGCCUCGUCUUUGGCAACCCCUCAUUCCUGUUCAGCAUGAAGAAGCUUUCCCCAGAGACUCAGACCCCUACUCCUAAGCUCUCCUGAGUGUUACGUGCAAACUUUGUCAAGAGCUUGUUGAUUCCUGUGGGCCUUUUGUUCUGCGAACACAUAUGGUCAUGGACAAGGUGGGUCACCUGAUGAAGAUGAGAACAUCUAUAUGAAUGUAGUCAUGCCUGCUGACCAGAGGGAUCAUGGUAAAGACACUGAUGAAGAUCUGGAAGAAGACUAUGCGAAUGUAGAAGAGCUGCGUCGCCCAGCUGCCGUAGAAAACGACUAUGAAGAGGAUGACAUCUAUCAACUAUAAUUGAGACUGGUCUGGUACAUGUGGAUUGAAAGCUGUUCUGUCAUUAUCCCUGUCCUGAGACUCACUUGUAGCCCUCUGCUGGCUCUCUCUGUGUUUUGACUGUCUCUGUCUGCCUUUUGUUUUGGUCCACAAUGUGCUUUUUCCUCCUUCCUGCCAAGUUUGAUCACCACCUGUUCCCCAUUCUGGGUGUUACCCACCUUAUUGAUAACCUGCUCUGCCUAUGAUUUGUUUAGAUUGGUACAGUUGUCUUCAGGUCUACCAUCAGGCCUAAAGUGCUGUGUUAAAGCAAUGUAUGCUGGGCAUCAUACAAUGUCAGAAUGCAUUGUAUGGAGGCCUGUAUGCAUUGUUUUAAUUAAACCAGCACUGUAAGCUGCUGCAUGAAUCAAGUAUGUCACUAUGUAAAAUGUAAAUCAGGUUUCUCGGCCAAGUAUACUUGCGUAUACAAGGAAUUUGGUCUCUGCGUUUAUCCCAUCCGUAAAGUAGUGAAUACACAGAGCAAACAGUGAACACACAGUGAGGUGAAGCACACACUAACCCGGAGCAGUGAGCUGCCUUGCUACAGCGGCGCUCGUG